CCUACGGGAGGCAGCAGUCGAGAAUCAUUCACAAUGGGGGAAACCCUGAUGGUGCGACGCCGCGUGGGGGAAUGAAGGUCUUCGGAUUGUAAACCCCUGUCAUGUGGGAGCAAAUUAAAAAGAUAGUACCACAAGAGGAAGAGACGGUUAACUCUGUGCCAGCAGCCGCGGUAAUACAGCGGUCUCAAGCGUUGUUCGGAAUCACUGGGCUUAAAGCGUGCGGAGGCGGUUUCGUAAGUCGGGUGUGAAAGGCGCGGGCUCAACCCGCGGAGGGCACAUGAUAAUGCGAGACUAGAGUAGUGGAGGGGGAAGCGGAAUUCUCGGUGUAGCAGUGAAAUGCGUAGAUAUCGAGAGGAACACUCGUGGCGAAGGCGGGUUCCUGGACAUUAACUGACGCUGAGGCACGAAGGCCAGGGGAGCGAAAGGGAUUAGAUACCCGGGUAGUC
rnacentral:rRNA from 1 species